rnacentral:rRNA from 1 species
UACGUAGGGUGCAAGCGUUGUCCGGAAUUAUUGGCGUAAAGAGCUCGUAGGCGGUUCUGUCGCGCGGAUGUAGAAACCCCGAGGGCUACCACCGUGGGCCUUGCAUUCGAUAACGGGCAGGACUAGAGGUUCGGUAGGGGGAGACGUGGAAUUCCUGGUGUAGCGGUGAAAUGCGCAGAUAUCAGGAGGAACACCGGUGGCGAAGGCGGGUCGUCUCGGCCGGAUACUGACGCUGAGGAGCGAAAGCGUGGGGAGCGAACAGG